rnacentral:rRNA from 1 species
GACGAACGCUGGCGGCGUGCUUAACUCAUGCAAGUCGAACGGUAAGGCCCUUCGGGGUACACGAGUGGCGAACGGGUGAGUAACACGUGGGUGAUCUGCCCUGCACUUCGGGAUAAGCCUGGGAAACUGGGUCUAAUACCGGAUAGGACCACUGCCUGCAUGGGUGGUGGUGGAAAGCUUUUGCGGUGUGGGAUGGGCCCGCGGCCUAUCAGCUUGUUGGUGGGGUGAUGGCCUACCAAGGCGACGACGGGUAGCCGGCCUGAGAGGGUGACCGGCCACACUGGGACUGAGAUACGGCCCAGACUCCUACGGGAGGCAGCAGUGGGGAAUAUUGCACAAUGGGCGCAAGCCUGAUGCAGCGACGCCGCGUGAGGGAUGACGGCCUUCGGGUUGUAAACCUCUUUCAGCACCGACGAAGCGCAAGUGACGGUAGGUGCAGAAGAAGGACCGGCCAACUACGUGCCAGCAGCCGCCGUAAGAC